UCUCUUACCCAUGUCUUUUAAGUACCUUACGUUUCCUCGGCGGGUCCGCCCGCCGAUUGGACAAUUUAAACCAUUUGCAGUUGCAAUCAGCGUCUGAAAAAACUUAAUAGUUACAACUUUCAACAACGGAUCUCUUGGUUCUGGCAUCGAUGAAGAACGCAGCGAAAUGCGAUAAGUAGUGUGAAUUGCAGAAUUCAGUGAAUCAUCGAAUCUUUGAACGCACAUUGCGCCCCUUGGUAUUCCAUGGGGCAUGCCUGUUCGAGCGUCAUUUGUACCUUCAAGCUCUGCUUGGUGUUGGGUGUUUGUCUCGCCUCUGCGUGUAGACUCGCCUCAAAACAAUUGGCAGCCGGCGUAUUGAUUUCGGAGCGCAGUACAUCUCGCGCUUUGCACUCAUAACGACGACGUCCAAAAGUACAUUUUUACACUCUUGACCUCGGAUCAGGUAGGGACACCCGCUGAACUUAAGCAUAU
rnacentral:rRNA from 1 species